GUUUCCCUGCGGCGUUCGUUCCGGCUCAGUAUUCUUUGAACCAAUAUACUGACCUAGCUGCUGGCGUAGCGCGCUUGUUGCGCGCAUCCCUCUGACGGAUGUGCCUGAUAGUGUGUAGCUGGUGGCGCCUUGAACCUUUGGUUCAAGAUAUGGGCCGGGACGGCGCCCGCGGGGAUCCC
rnacentral:other from 1 species